rnacentral:lncRNA from 1 species
AGGCUUGCAACUUUUGUACCAAGAAACUGUAACCAAUUUUCUUUUAUCCACAUCACCACUCCAGAUAAAAUUCCUAAUCCACUUUUCCAGAUCAUUAAGGAGAGAUUUUGGCCAACAAUACACUGAUAUGCUAUGAAUUAACAUACCUUGAAUAACUGAUUUCACCAAUUGAACCCUCCCAGCAAUAGAGAGGAGAGAUGCUUUCCAGGCAGAUAACUUACUUUUGAUUUUAUCUGCAAU